CAAUAACCUGGAAUCUCCUUGUACAGGUGACAAGAUGUGGAUGAUCACAUCUGUACUACAAGGAAUAAAACAAUCCCUUACAUGUUCUAAUUUAUAUGUGUAGUGUCUCCAGCAUUACUAGAAACUGUUAGUUGCCUUUAUUGGGUUUUUUAUGCCCAGAUGCAAUUGAAUUUCAGAACACAGCCAGAGACUGACUGGUAAGAACCUGCAAUUCUGACAUAUAAGCUCUCCUUGCCUCUCAGUGAAGGUCUGUGUGCAUUCACAUUGUGCAGGGAAUCGGGAACCAAUAAGGAGAGUGUUCUCAUUUCCACCAACGGAAAACAAAUACUCAGGAAAGAUUGGAGAUCCCCCUCAGAGCCGCUGAUUCAUUUCUGCCUCACGGCUAAACAUAUGCUGCCGCAGAAACCAUGAAAUAGAAACUGGGUGACAGAUAAAGAAAUGAAACUCAUCCUUGUUCAUGUAUACAAUAACAAACAAAAGAGAAAAGCAUCCUCGGGUUUCCCCUUGACUGACCCUGCAUGCCCGGGCAGGUGUGUUCAAAGUGUAUGGCCCAGGUACGAGGGCUUCAGUGAAGAACGUAGCUGAGAUGAGCCAGCCACAAAGACAAAAGUUAUAAAACAGAGGAAUUUGUUAGAGUGGAGCCUGCUGCUACAACCAGACCUUGAAAUGAAGAUUCAUGCCAUACUCUGGAACAUUCUUCUGUUGGCACCUCUUUCAGAAGAGAGCUGUUUGACCAACCCAUCUGGAAUGUCUGUUGUGGAUUGCUGCCCCAUCUUCUUCCCCUGUUAGGUCCCUUGCUUGGCUUAUUGAUUUCUCUAUUGCUUGCACCUUUUCUCAAUAAUAAAUCGAUGGCUUUCAUCAAGAAUCAGGUAUAUGCUAUCAAAAUAGAGCCUAUAUAGAUGCACUGCCAUUACCUUGACUUGGCCAAAAUGGGAGAUGACUAUAAUGAACUCUAUUUACAGAACAUAAGAUCUGUGUAUUUGAAAAAUCAUUGGGUUCAAUCUUUCCUUGGUGAGUUGGGCUGGAUAGCCAACAAUGGGCAAGAGAGGGAGGGUUUAGUGUGUCUGACCCUGAAGCCCCCUAAGAAAGGAAUCAUCAUCAUGCAACAUCAACUCCAGAAAAGGGUAAGGCUAUCAUACACUCUUCAGCCCAUUGAUUCCACUGACCUAAGCCUGGCACAGUCCCCUUAAGGACAUCCCCUACCUAUGGCCUUCUUACAUAUUAUAUAAAAAUAAAGGGAGACAUGUAGAGGACUCUGAAAGAAGAUAGCAUAAUAAUGUCAUCUAUGCCUUCUAUUACUUUUUUAACACUCAGUUAAGUUUCUGUUGCUUUGCAUCUGUCAAUUUUCUUGUAAAGCAUAUGCCCAUGUCUGUAGUCAAGACAGCUCCAGCCCCAGACUUAUCUCCUUGCAACACAUCAUGCCUAGAAGGACAAUAGUCUCCCCCACACCCUGACCCUUUUACCCUACUUAAAUCAUAUUGACCUGUCUAAUAAACUGAGACUUGAUCAGAGUACUCUCUUGUCUCCAUCUCUCCUGUCUCUUUUCUCUUCCAUUCAUAUUCCCUCCCCCAUGGUUCCCUUUGACUGAUCGCACAAACUAUGAAACCUCCCCUGCCCCCACGUUCCCAAUUUGCCAGAAUCUGGAAGCAACCUAGAUGACCCUCAACUGAAGAAUGGGUAGAGAAAAUGUGGUAUAAUUACACAAUAGAGUACUACUCAGCAGAAAAAAACAAUUGAAACUUGCAGUUUGCAGGCAAAUUGAUGGAACUAGAAGAAACCAUCCUGAGUGAGGUAACCCAGUAACAAAAAGAUAAACAUAGUAUGUACUCUUUCAUAUAUGAUUUCUAGACAUAGAACAAAUGAUUACCAGUCUACAAUCUACACUGCCAGAGGAGCUAGGAAACAAGGAGGACCCCAAGAGAAGAAUGAAUAGUCCAUCGAAGAAGGGGAGGGGGACAAGAACCCCUAAACAUCUUCCUUUGAAGAAUCCACACAUUUCCCCAAAAUAGAAUAUGCUCCAAUUUCAAAUAUCACUGUUAAACCUGAAGCUUAUGUUUUUGUUAUCUUUGAUAAGAACUGAAUUUUUUAAUGCAUUUCUAUGUGCAUCACUAUGCAUCCAUCUACUGGAACAAGAGUAGUCCCACAUGGCAAGCAAUUCUGAAAAAAUAAACUACAACUAUCCUUCUCAUUUCUUUAAUAGAUGAAAAGUGACUUUCAAUAUUGUUUGGCAAUAGUUCUGUUCCUAAUUGAAUGGCUUUUAGUUUAUAUGGAGAGAUAUGGAAAAAUCUUAACCACUUAUACUGUGAAAGGAUAACAGUUUUCUCACUCAUAUGCAAGUAAUGGUUUAUUUGGUUUAGUUAUUGGCUAAAUGUAUCCAUAUAUGGACACAUUUGUUAUUCAGAAACACUAUAAUUUAGAUGUGGAACUUGGAUUAUGAGGAUAAGAAUAUACUUUUGAUAUUCCUGUAUACUUAUGUCAUCAUAGAAACUAAUGCAUUUGCUACUAUGCUGCCCUUGGAUGGAAUACAGGUGAUAUAACUCAAGGUUAAUCAGAAUGUUAGUGGCUUAAAAGUUAGCAGGAAUAAAAUUUCUCACUCUCAUGAGCUAUAUGCCUUAAUGGAAAAAAAAACUGAGUGAUUUUUAGAAAUAUCUUUGUCUUUGUGGCCCAAAACUGAGAAAAAUCUGUAAUUAUGAGGUUUGCAUUCAAGGCCUCGAGUUGGAAGGAAAACCACAAGCUUCUUUAAUAGCCAAGAACUGGAUACCAGUGUUGUGACCCUGAUGGGUGACCUAAGGUGCCCUUGGGGUUGGCUUUUUCACCUCAUGACCAGGCAUUCUUGUUGAGACACUGCUGGGUGACCUAAGGUGCCAUUGGUAUUCUCUGUCUGCCUCAAGACUGGAGAGGAUUAGCACAUUUUUAAUGGGGACAAUUGUUCCACAGAAUCAUACCUCCAAUUUCACCUAGGCUGGCCUGUAUGCAAGAAUGCAAACUAUCAGCCCAUUGCCAGGGGGCUUGGGUACAUGGACCUUGGUCUGAGUAAAUUUCUACGUGACUGCUGUUGAUGUAUAAGUAUUCUCCCCUUUGAAAAUAAACGGAAU
ensembl:lncRNA